rnacentral:rRNA from 1 species
CAGCAGCCGCGGGAAUACGAGGGGGGCAAGCGUUGUUCGGAAUUAUUGGGCGUAAAGGGCGCGUAGGCGGUUUGACAAGUUUGGUGUGAAAUCUAUGGGCUCAACCCAUAGCCUGCAUCGAAAACUGUCGGGCUUGAGUAUGGGAGAGGUGAGUGGAAUUUCCGGUGUAGCGGUGAAAUGCGUAGGUAUCGGAAGGAACACCUGUGGCGAAAGCGGCUCACUGGACCAUUACUGACGCUGAGGCGCGAAAGCUAGGGGAGCAAACAGGAUUAGAUACCCGGGUAGUCCCUGUCUCUUAUAC